rnacentral:rRNA from 1 species
GACGUGGGGGGCGAGCGUUGUCCGGAUUUAUUGGGCGUAAAGCGUGCGUAGGCGGCUGCGCAAGUCGGUUGUGAAACCCCGGGGCUCAACCCCGGAACUGCAUCCGAUACUGCGUGGCUAGAGGUAGGUAGGGGAGAUCGGAAUUCCUGGUGUAGCGGUGAAAUGACGCAGAUAUCAGGAGGAACACCGGUGGCGAAGGCGGAUCUCUGGGCCUUAACUGACGCUGAGGAGCGAAAGCAUGGGGAGCGAACAGG